UCAGCCCAUAUCAGAGCAGAGUUUGAACCCUGGGGCGCGUUCAGCAGGACGCAACAUUUUGGAUCGUUCAGAUUGAAAUAUGUAGUGUAGAACAAACAUGCCUCUUCAACCUAUAGACCAAGGAUUCAUGUCCUCUCUGGUCAGAACAUUUCUAUCUGCAACAUUCAACAACGUUUGGAAAAUUAAUUUUGCCCUGGUCUUGAACCCAGUUUUAAAUAUGCAUUUUUCACUAAUAAUACAGUAUAUUUUCAUGUAAAAUAAACAAAUUAUUUAAUACAUACACAAACUGAUGUGAUACUUUAGACCUUUAGUAGUAAUAAGAUGGAAGAGACACAAGAUUCAAUUGGUUUCCAUAUAUUUGACAGGAAUUCCCCAAAUGGUUAUUCUCACCAAAGUGGAUUUAGCCUGUCCAUUGGUGAGGAAAGACCUGAAAAAGAUAUAUAGGAGCAAGUAUAUAAAGGAGAAGAUGGAGCAGUGUAGUAAUGAACUGGGGGUACCAGUGAACUGCAUUUUGCCUGUGAAGAACUACCAUGAGGAAAUUGACUUGGAUGAUGACAUGGAUGUGCUGCUAUUGAGAUCACUGAAGCAGAUGGUGGACUUUGCAGAGAGCGUCAAGCUAUCACAAGCUGACUGAUGGAUGUACAGUACUCGAUCUACAGCGUGUCACUCUGUAAUACAUCCAUCUAAAGAAGCCCUGUUCACACCUGGUAUUUACACCUGACUUUUGUGAUCCAAUCACCAUGAUCAGAUUACUCUCCAACUAUGGUCCAGUGCGUCCACAAAAGGGUUGGCAUCAUUUCUGAAUUGAACUGAAAAUACAUUUUGAAUUUCAUUCAAAUCUUGUGUUUGAAUUAUAAUUGUCUGUACUGUAAAAUCAAGUGCUUCCCAAUCUGCUUAUCUAUGUCCCUCUACUCUGGGAAUGGUCUGUCGAAGUCUGUUAGUGUUGGUAGGACAUUCAUUAAACAAUAGUUUCAGUCCUCCUUUACCUAUCAUAAGAUUCAAAGUGAACUUGUUACUGUAUGAAAUGGCUAAGCAGCUAUGUCUAUGCUCAUAUUUUAUAAAGUGAGUGUCAUAAUUGUUGAA